rnacentral:rRNA from 1 species
AAUCAACGCUGGCGGCGCGCUUAACACAUACAAGUCGAACGAGAAAGGGAGCAAUCCUGAGUAAAGUGGCGCACGGGUGAGUAACACGUGGGUAAUCUACCCUCUGGUGGGGAAUAACUCUGGGAAACCGGAGCUAAUACCGCAUAAGACCGGAAGGUGAAAGGCGCAAGUCGCCGGAGGAGGAGCCCGCGGCCGAUUAGCUGGAUGGUAGGGUAAUGGCCUACCAUGGCUGAGAUCGGUAGCCGGCCUGAGAGGGCACACGGCCACACUGGCACUGAAACACGGGCCAGACUCCUACGGGAGGCAGCAGUGGGGAAUCUUGCACAAUGGGGGAAACCCUGAUGCAGCGACGCCGCGUGAGCGAUGAAGCCCUUCGGGGUGUAAAGCUCUUUCGGCAGGGACGAUAAUGACGGUACCUGCAGAAGAAGCUGCGGCUAACUACGUG